rnacentral:misc_RNA from 1 species
GAUGAAGAACGCAGCGAAAUGCGAUACAUAAUGUGAAUUGCAAAUUCAGUGAAUCAUCGAGUCUUUGAACGCACAUUGCGCCCCCUGGUAUUCCGGGGGGCAUGCCUGUCCGAGCGUCAUUGCUGCCCUCAAGCACGGCUUGUGUGUUGGGCCCCGUCCUCCGAUCCCGGGGGACGGGCCCGAAAGGCAGCGGCGGCACCGCGUCCGGUCCUCGAGCGUAUGGGGCUUUGUCACCCGCUCUGUAGGCCCGGCCGGCGCUUGCCGAUCAACCCAAAUUUUUAUCCAGGUUGACCUCGGAUCAGGUAGGGAUACCCGCUGAACUUAAGCAUAUCAAUAAGCGGAGGA